AUGAACGCUAGCUACAGGCUUAACACAUGCAAGUCGAGGGGCAGCAUGGUCUUAGCUUGCUAAGGCCGAUGGCGACCGGCGCACGGGUGAGUAACACGUAUCCAACCUGCCGUCUACUCUUGGACAGCCUUCUGAAAGGAAGAUUAAUACAAGAUGGCAUCAUGAGUCCGCAUGUUCACAUGAUUAAAGGUAUUCCGGUAGACGAUGGGGAUGCGUUCCAUUAGAUAGUAGGCGGGGUAACGGCCCACCUAGUCUUCGAUGGAUAGGGGUUCUGAGAGGAAGGUCCCCCACAUUGGAACUGAGACACGGUCCAAACUCCUACGGGAGGCAGCAGUGAGGAAUAUUGGUCAAUGGGCGAGAGCCUGAACCAGCCAAGUAGCGUGAAGGAUGACUGCCCUAUGGGUUGUAAACUUCUUUUAUAAAGGAAUAAAGUCGGGUAUGGAUACCCGUUUGCAUGUACUUUAUGAAUAAGGAUCGGCUAACUCCGUGCCAGCAGCCGCGGUAAUACGGAGGAUCCGAGCGUUAUCCGGAUUUAUUGGGUUUAAAGGGAGCGUAGAUGGAUGUUUAAGUCAGUUGUGAAAGUUUGCGGCUCAACCGUAAAAUUGCAGUUGAUACUGGAUAUCUUGAGUGCAGUUGAGGCAGGCGGAAUUCGUGGUGUAGCGGUGAAAUGCUUAGAUAUCACGAAGAACUCCGAUUGCGAAGGCAGCCUGCUAAGCUGCAACUGACAUUGAGGCUCGAAAGUGUGGGUAUCAAACAGGAUUAGAUACCCUGGUAGUCCACACGGUAAACGAUGAAUACUCGCUGUUUGCGAUAUACAGCAAGCGGCCAAGCGAAAGCGUUAAGUAUUCCACCUGGGGAGUACGCCGGCAACGGUGAAACUCAAAGGAAUUGACGGGGGCCCGCACAAGCGGAGGAACAUGUGGUUUAAUUCGAUGAUACGCGAGGAACCUUACCCGGGCUUAAAUUGCAGAUGAAUUACGGUGAAAGCCGUAAGCCGCAAGGCAUCUGUGAAGGUGCUGCAUGGUUGUCGUCAGCUCGUGCCGUGAGGUGUCGGCUUAAGUGCCAUAACGAGCGCAACCCUUGUUGUCAGUUACUAACAGGUUCCGCUGAGGACUCUGACAAGACUGCCAUCGUAAGAUGUGAGGAAGGUGGGGAUGACGUCAAAUCAGCACGGCCCUUACGUCCGGGGCUACACACGUGUUACAAUGGGGGGGUACAGAGGGCCGCUACCACGCGAGUGGAUGCCAAUCCCAAAAACCUCUCUCAGUUCGGACUGGAGUCUGCAACCCGACUCCACGAAGCUGGAUUCGCUAGUAAUCGCGCAUCAGCCACGGCGCGGUGAAUACGUUCCCGGGCCUUGUACACACCGCCCGUCAAGCCAUGGGAGCCGGGGUACCUGAAGUGCGUAACCGCGAGGAGCGCCCUAGGGUAAAACUGGUGACUGGGGCU
rnacentral:rRNA from 1 species